AAGGAUUUAUUAAUGCUACACCCUAUUUUUAUUAAAACCACAUCUCCCUUGAUAUUUCAUAAUUAGUUCCGUCCAUCUUCUAUCUCUGCUUCAUAUCCCUUGUUCCUCGUUUUCCAUGCUUGUUCUAUAUUCUUAGUCUUCCAUCCCCUCAUUCCUCGCCACCCUAUCUCCUAUCUCUUGUUUCUCCUCUCCCUCUCCUUGUCUUCUAUUCUUAGCCAUCUUGUCCUUCAUUUCCAACUUCCUCGUCCCUCAUUUAUAAUUCCCUUGUUUUUCAUUUUUAACUCCAUCACCUU
rnacentral:lncRNA from 1 species